GGGGCGGUGAUGUACGGGCAUAGAGAAUAACUCUCGGUCAGGGUUCGAUUCCCUGCCGCUCCACCA
rnacentral:tRNA from 1 species